CCUACGGGGGGCAGCAGUGGGGAAUAUUGGGCAAUGGAGGCAACUCUGACCCAGCAACGCCGCGUGAAUGAUGAAGGUCUUCGGAUUGUAAAGUUCUUUUCUAAGGGAAGAAGAAAGUGACGGUACCUUAGGAAUAAGCCUCGGCUAACUACGUGCCAGCAGCCGCGGUAAUACGUAGGAGGCAAGCGUUGUUCGGAAUCACUGGGUGUAAAGGGAGCGUAGACGGCUGAGCAAGCCUGAAGUGAAAGGCGGGGGCCCAACCCCCGGACUGCUUUGGGAACUGUACGGCUGGAGUGCAGGAGAGGUAAGUGGAAUUCCUAGUGUAGCGGUGAAAUGCGUAGAUAUUAGGAGGAACACCAGUGGCGAAGGCGGCUUACUGGACUGUAACUGACGUUGAGGCUCGAAAGCGUGGGGAGCAAACAGGAUUAGAUACCCGUGUAGUC
rnacentral:rRNA from 1 species